rnacentral:rRNA from 1 species
ACACGACUACAUUAGAUACCCCCGUAGUCCCAGCCGUAAACGAUGCGCGUUAGGUGUAUCGGUGACCACGAGUCACCGAGGUGCCGAAGGGAAACCGUGAAACGUGCCGCCUGGGAAGUACGGUCGCAAGGCUGAAACUUAAAGGAAUUGGCGGGGAGCACCACAACGGGUGGAGCCUGCGGUUUAAUUGGACUCAACGCCGGGAAGCUCACCGGAUAAGACAGCGGAAUGAUUGCCGGGCUGAAGACUCUGCAUGACUAGCUG